rnacentral:sRNA from 12 species
AGCCUAAACCUUCACCGGCAUGGCUGAAAAUACUAUUCAGGGCAGUAAGCUCUUCGUCAGAACCUGAAUAGUCGUGUGGGGAAACCCACAUGGGGGUCCAAAAGACCUC